CGAAGCAAAUUUAAAUACUCCUUUAGAAUUUCAUCGAAAUUUUGGUCUGGGUAUUAAUUUGAAUUAAUUUUAUUCUAAAAUUAUUUUGGUUCAUCACCCAAAAAUUCUGAUUGUUUUGCUAUUGCAUUAGACAAGAUAAGAUAUUGUUUUUAUAUAUUAUUUUUCCGGAAGUAAGCGGACCUAUUUGUCCAAAUAUUCAUCCGCAAAAACUCCACGAGGCAGGUUGCGUGCGCAGCAUUUUUGAUUUCGAGUUUCCUUGUGCCGCCCAUCUCGGCUGGGACGCUAAGCUGUUUGGGAGCUCAGCAUCGGUUGCGUGCGUAUGAAAACUGAAUGCGGUACGUAUGUUAAGUAUGCAAUAGCGUGAGUCUGAGUUUGAUGAUUGUGUUAGCAACGGUCUGUACGGUAGGUGCGGAUUUACCACGGGUAGUGGUCUGAUUAUUGAGGUACCGGUACUGGUACUUUUUGCAGAGAUCAAAGUUUCCUAUAUUUUAAUCCUUCUCUUUACCGUCAUAGGUCAUUUAGUACCGGUAAUGUGCCAAUUAUGACAUCACUCAAAUGUCACGUGCCUGUAGCCCGCGCUUUUUCUGGUUCAGGAAUGAGGACUCGGUAAGCGAGGCUCUUUGUCGUUAGUGGAUGUUUAUUUUAGGCGGUUGGUUUUUGUAGCUUUUCAUGCGUUAAUUGAGCAUGUUUGUGUUACAGUAGUAGACUUGUAGUUGGUAGACCAAAAUAUUCUUUAAAUACCGUGUACAUCAGAUAACACGGUAGCGACUGCUGAGACUUUUUACGUCAUCGCUGAACGAGAAGUGGUGUGUUCCUGUAGAUCGUUUUUUGAAGCGGUACGGUAGCUUUUCAGUUUGCUUCGUUCUAUGUUUUCAACAUAGAAUAUCCAAAGAAGGUCUUGCUGACGUUUGAUUUUAUUUAGAGGUUCUUCGGUGACAUAAACCCCAGAGGCACUAAGUCGAAAAAAAGUAAAGGCAAAGACGUUCAUGCAAAAGUAAUCGGCCUUGCAAGAAGAGUGAAUCUAUCACAGGCGUUAUAUGUGCCGUUGUUAGAAAUUGAUGUUUAAGUAAACUUUGGUGGUGUUACUGCAGCUUACAUCACUUUUGACCAGGGGUGAAAACUCUAUCAAAUUUUCACAUGCCUUUGAUUGAGUUUCUCAAGUUCGAGUUCAUUACCCUGGUCAGGGGUUUGAGUUCAUGUAUUUGAUAGAGUUUUUCGAAGUUCGAGUUCGCAGCCCUGCUUUUGGCUGAUCGAUUAAUUUGAUAAAAAAUGAUUUAGCUGUGUGUCGGGUGUGAAGUCUGGAUAAUUUUAAACAAACUCUGCUCCAUGAUCUUCUUCACCCACAAAAUUUCUGGCUUCCAAGGAAUGACUAUCAACUCCCACAUUUGCAAAUAUAUGACUCCGUCUCCUGCUCAAGACUCCUUCAAAAUAUGAAUUAAAACUCUUGACUCCCUGAUCUUUUAAGAUUUGACUGCUGCUAUGCUAGCUGCUUUAGUGUAACUUUUUGUCCAGUUUUAUCAAUUUUAACAUUUUCGAAUUUGCAACUUCUGCAAACUCUGCUCCUAGCUCAUGAGCUUAAAAAAUGUCCAGUCAAACUCUAUUCAUAAGUGUGGAUAAACUCCGUCUAUGAUUAACUCUAUAGACUCUGCAAGCUUCAAAAUUUAGAACUCCCACUCAUGCUCCUACCAAAAUCCUCAAACUCCCGCUCUUCGACUUCACGCCCUUUGAAAUCUUAUCUUGAAAAUUAUCUUGCAUAAUUAACUUUAGAAUUUGUCAUAUCUUUGAAACUCUUGCCAUAGCUACAAAAUAGGUUGCAUGAUAUUUCCCAAAAUUUUCAUUUUGAAACAUUAUAAUUAGAGUAAAGUGCAAAAAAUCGUGAAAUUCUUACAAUAGUCUCGUUAUUAUGUCACGUUUGCCAGCGUCUCAUAGCCUGGUAUCCAGAAAUUUGAUUUCAAAAUAAGUUUGUCAACUAAACAACCCAGUCCUAAAACGUUUUCUUGUUUGACUUUAUUUGGAUCUAUUGAGAUAAAUAAAUAGACCUCGAAAUGUAUAGACCAGAUUUCUAACAAGUGCCGAUAGAAACUCAAUUUUGAUUCAUUACAUACAGAAUUUCUAUGUCCUACAAGAACUCGUGCCCUCAUUUUAUUGCAUGGAUAGCCUUCAACGUCUCCUAAUAGGUGUUUAAAUUUGACUGUAGACCAUAUAUUUUCUGAAAUUUCUUUCGAAACUGUUUUACAAGCCUUAAAGGCAUUCAGUGUGUAUUUAUGGUUUUAUAAAAAUAUCAAUUGUAAUAAAAUGAUUUUCGUUUCCAGAA